GACGAACGCUGGCGGCGUGCUUAACACAUGCAAGUCGAACGGUGAUGCUCCAGCUUGCUGGAGUGGAUCAGUGGCGAACGGGUGAGUAACACGUGAGCAACCUGCCCCAGACUCUGGAAUAAGCGCUGGAAACGGCGUCUAAUACUGGAUACGAAACUGGCCCGCAUGGGCAUGGUUUGGAAAGUUUUUCGGUUUGGGAUGGGCUCGCGGCCUAUCCGCUUGUUGGUGAGGUAAUGGCUCACCAAGGCUACGACGGGUAGCCGGCCUGAGAGGGCGACCGGCCACCCUGGGCCUGAGACACGGCCCAGACUCCUACGGGAGGCAGCAGUGGGGAAUAUUGCACAAUGGGCGAAAGCCUGAUGCAGCGACGCCGCGUGAGGGAUGACGGCCUUCGGGUUGUAAACCUCUUUCAGCAGGGAAGAAGCGAAAGUGACGGUACCUGCAGAAGAAGCACCGGCUAACUACGUG
rnacentral:rRNA from 1 species